CGAACGCUUGCGGCGUGCUUAACACAUGCACGUCGAGCGGAAAGGCCCUGCUUUUGUGGGGUGCUCGCGUGGCGAACGGGUGAGUAACACGUGAGUAACCUGCCCUUGACUUUGGGAUAACUUCAGGAAACUGGGGCUAAUACCGGAUAGGAGCUCCUGCUGCCUGGUGGGGGUUGGAAAGUUUCGGCGGUUGGGGAUGGACUCGCGGCUUAUCAGCUUGUUGGUGGGGUAGUGGCUUACCAAAGCUUUGACGGGUAGCCGGCCUGAGAGGGUGACCGGCAACAUUGGGACUGAGAUACGGCCCGGACUCCUACGGGAGGCAGAAGUGGGGAAUAUUGCAAAAUGGGCGGAAGCCUGAUGCAGCAACGCCGCGUGCGGGAUGACGGCCUUCGGGUUGUAAACCGCUUUCGCCUGUGACGAAGAGUGAGUGACGGUAAUGGGUAAAGAAGAACCGGCUAACUACGUG
rnacentral:rRNA from 1 species